GAAUCGCUAGUAAUCGUGGAUCAGAAUGGCACGGUGAAUACGUUCCCGGGCCUUGACACACCGCCCGUCACACCAUGGGAGUGGACUGCACCAGAAGUGGUUAGCCUAACUUCGGAGGGCGAUCACCACGGUGUGGUUCAUGACUGGGGUGAAGUCGUAACAAGGUAGCCGUAGGGGAACCUGCGGCUGGAUCACCUCCUUA
rnacentral:rRNA from 1 species